UCCGGUUUGUCACCGGCAGUCCCCUUAGAGUCCCCGGCAUUAUCCGCUGGCAACUAAGGGCAAGGGUUGCGCUCGUUGCGGGACUUAACCCAACAUCUCACGACACGAGCUGACGACAACCAUGCAGCACCUCUGCUGGCUUCCUUGCGGGUCAGCCCCAGUUUCUUGGGACUUACUACCAGUAGUUCAAGCCCAGGUAAGGUUCUUCGCGUUGCGUCGAAUUAAACCACAUGUUCCACCGCUUGUGCGGGCCCCCGUCAAUUCCUUUGAGUUUCAACCUUGCGGCCGUACUCCCCAGGCGGCUCAUUUAAUGCGUUAGCUGCGACGCGGAAGGGGUCGAUACCUCCCACAUCUAAUGUGCAUCGUUUACGGCUAGGACUAC
rnacentral:misc_RNA from 1 species